rnacentral:rRNA from 1 species
AUUGAACGCUGGCGGCAGGCCUAACACAUGCAAGUCGAACGAGUGGCGGACGGGUGAGUAAUGUCUGUGAACCUGCCUUAUGGCUGGGGAUAACUACUGGAAACGGUCGCUAAUACCGCAUACCAUCAGAUGUGCCCAGAUGGGAUUAUCUUGUUGGUGGGGUAACGGCUCACCAAGGCGACGAUCCCUAGCUGGUCUGAGAGGAUGACCGGCCACACUGGAACUGAGACACGGUCCAGACUCCUACGGGAGGCAGCAGUGGGGAAUAGUGCGCAAUGGGCGAAAGCCUGAUGCAGCCACGCCGCGUGUGUGAAGAAGGCCUUCGGGUUGUAAAGUACUUUCAUCAGGGAGGCGUUACCCGCAGAAGAAGCACCGGCUAACUCCGUGCCAGCAGCCGCGGUAAUUC